rnacentral:sRNA from 1 species
UACUACACAGCAUCGUGUGGGUGAGACCCUGCGUUCAGGUUCGAGCCGAGCGCAGCGAGACAGACACGCUCAGCGCUCGCACGCAGGGCAAGUCCGUCGUACCAGUCAUCACUCCCGACCCGCCA